GUUUGUGGCCAAACUUCCUUGUCAAAGCCUGAUCUUGUCAGAUCUCAGAAGCUGAGCAAGGGCGGGCUUGCUUAGUAUUUGGAUGGGAGACCGUUGGGAAUUCCAGGUGCCACAGUGG
rnacentral:rRNA from 1 species